CAGGGUACUCGAGUGGCGAACGGGUGAGUAACACGUGGGUGAUCUGCCCUGCACUUCGGGAUAAGCUUGGGAAACUGGGUCUAAUACCGGAUAGGAGCCAUCUUUAGUGUGGUGGUUGGAAAGUUUUUUCGGUGUAGGAUGAGCUCGCGGCCUAUCAGCUUGUUGGUGGGGUAAUGGCCUACCAAGGCGGCGACGGGUAGCCGGCCUGAGAGGGUGUACGGCCACAUUGGGACUGAGGUACGGCCCAG
rnacentral:rRNA from 1 species